GAUGAACGCUGGCGGCGUGCCUAAUACAUGCAAGUCGAGCGAACGGACGAGAAGCUUGCUUCUCUGAUGUUAGCGGCGGACGGGUGAGUAACACGUGGAUAACCUACCUAUAAGACUGGGAUAACUUCGGGAAACCGGAGCUAAUACCGGAUAAUAUUUUGAACCGCAUGGUUCAAAAGUGAAAGACGGUCUUGCUGUCACUUAUAGAUGGAUCCGCGCUGCAUUAGCUAGUUGGUAAGGUAACGGCUUACCAAGGCAACGAUGCAUAGCCGACCUGAGAGGGUGAUCGGCCACACUGGAACUGAGACACGGUCCAGACUCCUACGGGAGGCAGCAGUAGGGAAUCUUCCGCAAUGGGCGAAAGCCUGACGGAGCAACGCCGCGUGAGUGAUGAAGGUCUUCGGAUCGUAAAACUCUGUUAUUAGGGAAGAACAUAUGUGUAAGUAACUGUGCACAUCUUGACGGUACCUAAUCAGAAAGCCACGGCUAACUACGUGCCAGCAGCCGCGGUAAUACGUAGGUGGCAAGCGUUAUCCGGAAUUAUUGGGCGUAAAGCGCGCGUAGGCGGUUUUUUAAGUCUGAUGUGAAAGCCCACGGCUCAACCGUGGAGGGUCAUUGGGAACUGGAAAACUUGAGUGCAGAAGAGGAAAGUGGAAUUCCAUGUGUAGCGGUGAAAUGCGCAGAGAUAUGGAGGAACACCAGUGGCGAAGGCGACUUUCUGGUCUGUAACUGACGCUGAUGUGCGAAAGCGUGGGGAUCAAACAGGAUUAGAUACCCUGGUAGUCCACGCCGUAAACGAUGAGUGCUAAGUGUUAGGGGGUUUCCGCCCCUUAGUGCUGCAGCUAACGCAUUAAGCACUCCGCCUGGGGAGUACGACCGCAAGGUUGAAACUCAAAGGAAUUGACGGGGACCCGCACAAGCGGUGGAGCAUGUGGUUUAAUUCGAAGCAACGCGAAGAACCUUACCAAAUCUUGACAUCCUUUGACAACUCUAGAGAUAGAGCCUUCCCCUUCGGGGGACAAAGUGACAGGUGGUGCAUGGUUGUCGUCAGCUCGUGUCGUGAGAUGUUGGGUUAAGUCCCGCAACGAGCGCAACCCUUAAGCUUAGUUGCCAUCAUUAAGUUGGGCACUCUAAGUUGACUGCCGGUGACAAACCGGAGGAAGGUGGGGAUGACGUCAAAUCAUCAUGCCCCUUAUGAUUUGGGCUACACACGUGCUACAAUGGACAAUACAAAGGGCAGCGAAACCGCGAGGUCAAGCAAAUCCCAUAAAGUUGUUCUCAGUUCGGAUUGUAGUCUGCAACUCGACUACAUGAAGCUGGAAUCGCUAGUAAUCGUAGAUCAGCAUGCUACGGUGAAUACGUUCCCGGGUCU
rnacentral:rRNA from 1 species